rnacentral:rRNA from 1 species
CUAAUCCUGUUUGAUCCCCACGCUUUCGCACAUCAGCGUCAGUUACAGACCAGAAAGUCGCCUUCGCCACUGGUGUUCCUCCAUAUCUCUGCGCAUUUCACCGCUACACAUGGAAUUCCACUUUCCUCUUCUGCACUCAAGUUUUCCAGUUUCCAAUGACCCUCCACGGUUGAGCCGUGGGCUUUCACAUCAGACUUAAAAAACCGCCUACGCGCGCUUUACGCCCAAUAAUUCCGGAUAACGCUUGCCACCUACGUAUUACCGCGGCUGCUGGCACGUAGUUAGCCGUGGCUUUCUGAUUAGGUACCGUCAAGAUGUGCACAGUUACUUACACAUAUGUUCUUCCCUAAUAACAGAGUUUUACGAUCCGAAGACCUUCAUCACUCACGCGGCGUUGCUCCGUCAGGCUUUCGCCCAUUGCGGAAGAUUCCCUACUGCUGCCUCCCGUAGGAGUCUGGACCGUGUCUCAGUUCCAGUGUGGCCGAUCACCCUCUCAGGUCGGCUAUGCAUCGUUGCCUUGGUAAGCCGUUACCUUACCAACUAGCUAAUGCAGCGCGGAUCCAUCUAUAAGUGACAGCAAGACCGUCUUUCACUUUUGAACCAUGCGGUUCAAAAUAUUAUCCGGUAUUAGCUCCGGUUUCCCGAAGUUAUCCCAGUCUUAUAGGUAGGUUAUCCACGUGUUACUCACCCGUCCGCCGCUAACAUCAGAGAAGCAAGCUUCUCGUCCGUUCGCUCGACUUGCAUGUAUUAGGCACGCCGCCAGCGUUCAUCCUGAGCCAGGAUCAAACCCUU